UAAACUUUUUUACAAAUAAAUGAAUGAAUAUUAAAUAAACGAAAGGAAAACUGUCAAUACUGAGGAUCAAAAGCGGUCGCUAUUCAAGUGGCCGGCACUGUACGUGUUUGUCAAUUUU